GGAUUGUGGUUCAGUGGCAGAGCUCUUGCCUAGCAAGUGUGAGGCACUGGGUUCAAUUCUCAGCACCA
rnacentral:tRNA from 1 species